UCCCCGCGGGAGAGUCCGGGCUCAUCGCCCGGCGCCGAAGGCGCAACCGCCCCGGAAACGCUCAGGCCAAAGGACCGCGCGGG
rnacentral:ncRNA from 1 species